rnacentral:rRNA from 1 species
UACGGAGGGUGCGAGCGUUGUUCGGAAUCACUGGGCGUAAAGGGCGUGUAGGCGGUCCGCUAAGUCUGAUGUGAAAGCCCGGGGCUCACCCCCGGAAGGGCAUUGGAAACUGGCGGACUCGAGUCUCGGAGAGGAAGGUGGAAUUCCUGGUGUAGCGGUGAAAUGCGUAGAUAUCAGGAGGAAUACCGGUGGCGAAGGCGGCCUUCUGGACGAUGACUGACGCUGAGACGCGAAAGCGUGGGGAGCAAACAGGAUUAGAAACCCCAGUAGUCC